rnacentral:rRNA from 1 species
UACGUAGGUGACAAGCGUUAUCCGGAUUUACUGGGCGUAAAGCGCGCGCAGGCGGCUAUCCAAGUCAGUGGUGAAAGCCCGGAGCUCAACUCCGGAACUGCCAUUGAAACUGUUUAGCUUGAGGACGAGAGAGGUGAGUGGAAUUCCCAGUGUAGAGGUGAAAUUCGUAGAUAUUGGGAAGAACACCGGUGGCGAGGGCGGCUCACUGGCUCGUAUCUGACGCUCAGGCGCGAUAGCGUGGGGAUCAAACAGG